AGAGUUUGAUCCUGGCUCAGGAUGAACGCUAGCUACAGGCUUAACACAUGCAAGUCGAGGGGCAGCAUGGUCUUAGCUUGCUAAGGCCGAUGGCGACCGGCGCACGGGUGAGUAACACGUAUCCAACCUGCCGUCUACUCUUGGACAGCCUUCUGAAAGGAAGAUUAAUACAAGAUGGCAUCAUGAGUCCGCAUGUUCACAUGAUUAAAGGUAUUCCGGUAGACGAUGGGGAUGCGUUCCAUUAGAUAGUAGGCGGGGUAACGGCCCACCUAGUCUUCGAUGGAUAGGGGUUCUGAGAGGAAGGUCCCCCACAUUGGAACUGAGACACGGUCCAAACUCCUACGGGAGGCAGCAGUGAGGAAUAUUGGUCAAUGGGCGAGAGCCUGAACCAGCCAAGUAGCGUGAAGGAUGACUGCCCUAUGGGUUGUAAACUUCUUUUAUAAAGGAAUAAAGUCGGGUAUGCAUACCCGUUUGCAUGUACUUUAUGAAUAAGGAUCGGCUAACUCCGUGCCAGCAGCCGCGGUAAUACGGAGGAUCCGAGCGUUAUCCGGAUUUAUUGGGUUUAAAGGGAGCGUAGAUGGAUGUUUAAGUCAGUUGUGAAAGUUUGCGGCUCAACCGUAAAAUUGCAGUUGAUACUGGAUAUCUUGAGUGCAGUUGAGGCAGGCGGAAUUCGUGGUGUAGCGGUGAAAUGCUUAGAUAUCACGAAGAACUCCGAUUGCGAAGGCAGCCUGCUAAGCUGCAACUGACGUUGAGGCUCGAAAGUGUGGGUAUCAAACAGGAUUAGAUACCCUGGUAGUCCACACGGUAAACGAUGAAUACUCGCUGUUUGCGAUAUACAGCAAGCGGCCAAGCGAAAGCGUUAAGUAUUCCACCUGGGGAGUACGCCGGCAACGGUGAAACUCAAAGGAAUUGACGGGGGCCCGCACAAGCGGAGGAACAUGUGGUUUAAUUCGAUGAUACGCGAGGAACCUUACCCGGGCUUAAAUUGCAGAUGAAUUACGGUGAAAGCCGUAAGCCGCAAGGCAUCUGUGAAGGUGCUGCAUGGUUGUCGUCAGCUCGUGCCGUGAGGUGUCGGCUUAAGUGCCAUAACGAGCGCAACCCUUGUUGUCAGUUACUAACAGGUCAUGCUGAGGACUCUGACAAGACUGCCAUCGUAAGAUGUGAGGAAGGUGGGGAUGACGUCAAAUCAGCACGGCCCUUACGUCCGGGGCUACACACGUGUUACAAUGGGGGGUACAGAGGGCCGCUACCACGCGAGUGGAUGCCAAUCCCAAAAACCUCUCUCAGUUCGGACUGGAGUCUGCAACCCGACUCCACGAAGCUGGAUUCGCUAGUAAUCGCGCAUCAGCCACGGCGCGGUGAAUACGUUCCCGGGCCUUGUACACACCGCCCGUCAAGCCAUGGGAGCCGGGGGUACCUGAAGUGCGUAACCGCGAGGAGCGCCCUAGGGUAAAACUGGUGACUGGGGCUAAGUCGUAACAAGGUA
rnacentral:rRNA from 1 species